GCAAAAUUUGGAAUGUCGGUUUAACUAAACUUUCCAUAUUUUCAAGUUAUUUAAUGCCAAUUCUUAAUUAAAAUCAUGAUCUUCCAUAAACGGUUCGUUUGACUACAAAAGAGCGCCAGGCUCUUGUACUCUUCGGUAUUCAUAUUUCUUCUUCCUGAUCUCUCGUAUCCACCUUUGUUUUCAUCAAAUUACGAGGUUAAUCGUUUUCCUCGUUCUUGGUAUGCUCUUAGUCGUUUUCUUUCUCUUCAUCGAAAAUACAUAUGCGUUUUUGUAGGGUUUUAAACACCAGAUUCUUGGGUUCUGAAAGGAACACUUAGAUUUUAGUCGUUUUCUCCGGUUCCAGUAAAUAAUGCCACUUCCAAAACAGAACUAAUCUCUAGAAAUUGGCGACAGACGAUGAUGUCGGAGAGCAAGCGUUCUUAGCUGUUCUUCUUUCAUGCUCUGCAUUUUUUCUUCAGGAGAUGUGUGAUCCACACUACGACCCCGACGCGUUUUUGCCUUUGUGUCUUCCCAAAACCUAUUUCUAUCCAACUCCAACUCCAACCACAAUUUCUCUUUUCCACAAACCUUUCCGCUCUCCAAAUCCCCUGCAACAAUUCGAAUCAUUCACACUUGCUUACUCGAUUAGAGACAACACUUUGGAUUGUUGUUAGGAUCAUUGUGGGAUAUAACAACAAGAAAUACUACAUUGAUAUCAUUGAAUCAAAGCCUUCAAAUCCAAUAACCAUCAUUGAAACCGAUUGUGGUCUUGAUUACAAGGAACCAAAGAGGCCCCACCCCUAUCAUCCUUGCCACCUGACCAAGAGGAAGCAAAAUUGAACCUGUUUAAAAUACCAACCACCUCCUGUUUCCACCACUUCCGCCUCCAAUGGAAAACAACUGGCGGAGGUGUGCCACUGCCGCCUCCUACCGGUUCUAGCUCCCACCAAACUCAGGGAAAACUCGUGUUCAGUUCUAAUGCCGCCUCUCAAAAGCAAAAGGCACCAAUUAUUUGAAGAUGAAACUGAAGGCAUUUGACACUUAAGUUGAGAUGUAGGAAUUCUCUUUUAGUGCUGGUUCUUGUCACUUAUAGUCGAGAAACUGAUACUUCAAGUUUACUGAGAGAUAGCAAAAUACUUUCAGCUCUUAUUCCAG